GACAGAGGUGCCAAGCGUUAGGCGGAAUCACUGGGCUUAAAGCGUGUGUAGGCGGAUCGUUAAGUACCUUGUGAAAUCCCACGGCUCAACCGUGGAACUGCUGGGUAUACUGGCGGUCUUGAGCCACCUAGGGGCAACUGGAACAAGCGGUGGAGCGGUGAAAUGCGUAGAUAUCGUAAGGAAGACCAGUGGCGAAGGCGGGUCUCUGGACAGUUCCUGACACUGAGACACGAAGGCCAGGGGAGCAAACGGG
rnacentral:rRNA from 1 species